rnacentral:rRNA from 1 species
UGCUACCCAAUUGCUAUGGGAGGCAUGGGGUUCCGUGAUAUGAGGGCUUUCAAACAGGCCUUGUUGGCUAAGCAGGCCUGGCGUUUGCUGGACUGUCCGCAGAUCCUUUGUGCUAGAUUGCUCCGGGCUAAAUACUACUCCCAUGGUAACCUUUUGGACACGGUGUUCCCUUCUAGCUCGUCCGCAAUAUGGAGGGGGGUUGUUCAUGGCCUC